AGCCAGCCCCACGCAUCUUGCAGCCUUAGUGAUAAGAAUAAGGAGCCCUGAAGCCCUCCGAGACUUUCAGGAGGAAACCGGGGACAUUUGGUUCCACUGUUGCUUUACAGCAGUCACCCUGAGACAAGCAGAGCAUCCCCCUUUUUGUCGGGGGAUACUACCUGGUAAAGCUUUAAGGUCAGGUAAGGCUUUAUCCGUAACAACUCUGUGAAGCCAUUGCUAAGGCCUUGUGGGUGCCAGCUGAAGGACCCAAGUAAUUUCUGUCUAAGAAAGACAGGAUGAAUUACUUUAAAAUUGUUAGCUAUUUUAGGAAUGGUUAUUUAACUUAUUUAACUUUUCAACUCAACUGUACCACUGAAGAAAAAUUAUAUAGUGUUUCCUAUUAUCUACUUAGGGAGCAGCAUGGCUUACCAAACUGAUAAAUAUUUAUUGUAUGUUCUGAGAUCAGCUAAGGUUUUAGAAUAAUUUAUAAUAUUUAAUAAACUGUGAAUG